AAGACUAUAGACCUGCGGAGUACCUGCGGAGGGAUCAUUAUAGAGUUUUCUAAACUCCCAACCCAUGUGAACUUACCUUUUGUUGCCUCGGCAGAAGUUAUAGGUCUUCUUAUAGCUGCUGCCGGUGGACCAUUAAACUCUUGUUAUUUUAUGUAAUCUGAGCGUCUUAUUUUAAUAAGUCAAAACUUUCAACAACGGAUCUCU
rnacentral:misc_RNA from 1 species